UUCAUUUUUCCAUACUUUCGCCUACCAACGUGAUUAUAAUGUUAAUCAAAUCCUUUUUCCCCUUUUAGAGACUGCAACGAGGGAUAGGAUAAAUGGAACGGCAUCUAAUGAAGAAAGAGGCAAACUACAUACUCAAAUGGAAAUGGAUAACAUUGGACUGGACGAAGAUCCCGCCAGGAUUCA